GUAUCCCCACCCUGAUGCAGGACCCCAUCAUUACUUGGUCAAGGUCAUAUGCACUCGUCCACUGCUUCGACAGGCUCACUCUCAAUACACAGGUCACUCGGUAUGUGCCAUCUGGGCAUGGGCCACUCUUCAAUCAAUCUUUGUCACGCCAGCUUGGGUACCUGCGCACUUCCAAGCAGCUGCUCGCACCAUCAACUCCAACAUCAAAUGCAGCUGUUAGCACUUUUUCGGGAACCCAAGGGUAGGACUAGAACAGAUAAAGGGCUGCACACUGGCUGCACAAUGCUACCGACAUGUCUACACGUCCCACGAGCAGGCUCUGUCUGGCGGCGGAAGAAACGGGCGCCCUGCCACUUGCGAGAGAGACGUCGAUCUUGUUUUACAUGAGUAUUGAUGAACUUUACUGUAGAGCUACAGCAGCCGUACGCAUGAAGACGGUCAUUUUUGGCAGUGUCGUCACAAGAGUGUUUGAGGCGUUGUGCGGUGCCUCGAAGCGCCCUCUCCCUCUCUCUUUCUCCGCUUUCCUUUAUUUUCGUGCCAACUGAGUAUGGGGAAACCUGUACAUAUUGAAGAGGGGAGUCCAAAUAGAAAAAGAAAUUGAAUCUAAUGCUAGUAUUGGCGAAGA